rnacentral:rRNA from 1 species
AUUGAACGCUGGCGGCAUGCCUAACACAUGCAAGUCGAACGGUAACAGGGAUCAGCUUGCUGAUUCGCUGACGAGUGGCGGACGGGUGAGUAAUGUCUGGGAAACUGCCUGAUGGAGGGGGAUAACUACUGGAAACGGUAGCUAAUACCGCAUAACGUCGCAAGACCAAAGAGGGGGACCUUCGGGCCUCUUGCCAUCGGAUGUGCCCAGAUGGGAUUAGCUAGUAGGUGGGGUAACGGCUCACCUAGGCGACGAUCCCUAGCUGGUCUGAGAGGAUGACCAGCCACACUGGAACUGAGACACGGUCCAGACUCCUACGGGAGGCAGCAGUGGGGAAUAUUGCACAAUGGGCGCAAGCCUGAUGCAGCCAUGCCGCGUGUAUGAAGAAGGCCUUCGGGUUGUAAAGUACUUUCAGCGGGGAGGAAGGGAGUAAAGUUAAUACCUUUGCUCAUUGACGUUACCCGCAGAAGAAGCACCGGCUAACUCCGUG